rnacentral:rRNA from 1 species
UACGUAGGGUGCGAGCGUUAAUCGGAAUUACUGGGCGUAAAGCGUGCGCAGGCGGUUUUGUAAGCCAGAUGUGAAAUCCCCGGGCUUAACCUGGGAAUGGCAUUUGGGACUGCAAGGCUUGAGUGCGGCAGAGGAGACUGGAAUUCCUGGUGUAGCAGUGAAAUGCGUAGAUAUCAGGAGGAACACCUGUGGUGUAGACAGCUUGCUGGACCAUCACUGACGCUGAGGCACGAAAGCGUGGGUAGCAAACAGG